ACUUCCGUGGGUGCCAGGUUAUGGGCUGGGGGCGGUGCUGACCUUGAGAGCGCGGAGGAGGCGCAGGCGCAGCACAGGUACGUCGGCGGGCGGAGCGCAGUGGCUGCGCUUGCGAGGACCCUGAGGUGGCAAUUGAAGUCGGAAGAACAUCUACCAAGAGCAGAGAAACCAGGAAGAAAAUUCUGCCUGUUUAAUACGUUCCAAUAUGGACGUUUUCCAUAUAGAUAUCUGUCUAUAUCUGUGAUCUAUAUCUAUGAUAUAGACAGAUAUGUAUCGAUAUAUCGGGGUUCUCAGCCAUCCAAAAGAAGCAUGCACAGGGCCAGUUGCUUUAUGUCAGGAAAGGGGAUACAGACAAUGUAUGAGGGGUUUUCUUUUUCUAUAGAUAUAUCGAUAGAUACCUAGAUAUCUAUCGAUAUAUAGAUAUAUAUCUAUAUCAGAUGCAAAUAAGUGAAACUCUCAUACACCUUUUAAUUUUGUGUUUUUCCCAAACUCUAUUCCAGUCAACUUUUUCUGCCUUUUUAUUUGAUUAUAAUGAGACGUCGUACUGGAGGCAGGCUUGAAAUGGAUAUACAGAGCACUUUCAACCCAGAAAUUUGUCUCACGACUUGGGGAUCCUUACUUAAGUUAUAGCUGUUAGUAAUUUCAUCCAUGAAUUCACUUUGUGCCAUAGUGUGACGUUUUUUAUAAAGUUGAAAUUGGGAAGGGAAACUAGGAAAUUUUGAGGAAAGUUAAGAAGGUUGAGUAGGCAGGUGUAUAGAUACUAAAUUUCACCCUCCUUAUCAAAGUACCUGGAGGGUAUGGUAUCCAAGCUGUAAAUGACCCAAAGGAAUCGGAGUUCUCAGCCAUCCAAAAGAAGCAUGCACAGGGUCAGUUGCUUUAUGUCAGGAAAGGGACACAGACUGAGUGUAUGAGGGAUUUGUUGUUUAAAUUUGGUUUUGUGAGGGGACGAACAGCGUGACAAUUAAAGAAGAUCUAGGAAUCGUAAGUACUGACAGAAUAGCUGGAGGGGAGGUGAGACUGGAGAAUAGUUUGUGAAACAGAUCCUGCUGAGGAUGAAUCCAGAACUUCCUGAAGGGUUCCGCUUCUGCUGUGUAGGGACAGGGUUGUAAAUAGACAAGCCACAGGGCACUUGCAACUGGUAAGUGUGGUAGAGAGGGGCUGGAAUUGUCUGUUGGUGUAUCUGUGGGAAGUAGCUGCUAUCCAUGAGGAAAAGAUGGAGAAGGUAAGUGGCUAUCAACCUGUCAGAAACAACACAUUCUGUGAAAUUGUGUUCUUUCAUUUCUGACACUGUGGUUCUUAAUAUCUGUCCUAAACCUGGCAGUCAUUGAAGUUCACAAAGUAUCUUCUAUGUGACAGUAAAACUGGGAUUACUAUCAGAAUGGAAUCCAUUCCUGCCAUAGUAAAACCAUAAAAAGAAAUCGUAGUUUUGAUUAUCUGCUUAUCAUUUUUAAUAGAUCAUGGAGUUCAAUGUUCCUUAUUUAAUCAAAUUGAUAAAUAACUUGAUUAAUAUCCUUUAAUGUUCUAUUUCACACAGUUCUCUCAAUUACAUGUGAAAAAUCUGUAAUAUAAGUAAUGCUAUUUAAUGAUUAAAAUGGACAUAUGUUUUAAGGAAGUGCCACCCAGUCUUUUUUAUUUUGUAGAAUAAUAAUAUUAUCUGUUGGUUGCCUGCCUUGAAGUACAAUAAUUUUCGUGUUUCCAUUAUUUAAAAUAGGUGGGUGUCUUUGACGAAGAUACAGAGAAAGGGCACGGUUAUGAAAGGAAAGAAAAGAUAGAUGAUGGAGAUGAAAAGAAAUUCAGUAGUUUCAGCAAGGGAAUUAGGAGCAUAAUCUUUGAGAAAAGUCUUGGUUGCUUACCAUUCCGGCUUUGUGAUGAGUUGAAAUAUCCUGAGUGAGAACUGUUCUCAAAUGCUUUCAAGACCAACAAAAAGUUAUGAUACCCACACUGACCUGGAACUCUUUCAGCCAUUAAGAUAUAUCACUUUUUCAUAGUUCAGUCCAUAUUUUUUGCAACAUGUUCUGAUUAGUUUUUCUGCUAAGAAAUUUCUGCUGUUUCUGAAGAAGUAUAAGUGUCGUAUGCUUUCAUUGUAGUUUUUUUUUUCCUAAUGUAUACUGUUCUCCUAAUUAGACUAUAAAUUCCUCCAAGGCUGGGACCUUGUUUUGUUUUCCCGCCUUCCCCUUAAGAAAUAUCAUUUAAGUGAAUGUUGCAAAAGUUACAUCAUUUAAAUUGCCCUUAAAAUGCUUUAUGACAAAUACUUAUUUGUAGUAACACCUAUAAUGGUAAAAAGUUUGUUGCAGUCUUACAUACAAUAAGAUUGAUCAAUUGUUAUAUAUGCUUAGUGGAAUUUUAUCUAGCUCUUCUAAAGAGUCAUUAGACUAGUCUUUCUAAUGGAAAUGUUUAUUGUCUAAGUUAAAACAGCAUUUUAGGCCUGGCACAGUGGCUCACUCCUGUUAUUGCAGCACUUUGGGAGGCUGAGGCGGGAGGAUCACUAGAGCACAAGAGUUAGAGACUAGCCUAGGCAAUAUAGAGAGACCUCUUCUCUAAACAAUUUAAAAAUUACCUGAGUGUGAUGGUGUGUGCCCACAGUUCCAGCUACUCAGGAGGCUGAGGUGGAAGGAUCACUUGGACCCAAGAGGUAGACAUUGCAGUAAACCAAGAUCAUGCCACUGCACUCCAGCCUGGGCCACAGAGCAAGAUCCUGUCUCAAAAAAUUAACAGGCAUUUUAUAGACUGCAUGUUUGUGUCCCCUCUCCCUCCACACCAAAAUUCUUAUAUUGAAACCCUAAUCUCCAAUGACAUGAUAUUAGUAGAUGGGGCCUUUGGGGGGUGAUUAAAUAAUGAGGGCGAAGCCCUCCAUGGGAUUAGUGCCUUUACUACAGGAGACACUAGACAGCUUGCUUCCCCUCUUUCUUUGCUCUUCACCAUGUGAGGACACAGCAAGAAAACAGACAACUACAAAUCAGGAAGAGGGCCUGAUUUGUGCCAACCAUGCUGGCACUCUUCUCUAACUGCCCAGCCUCCAGAACUGUGAGAAAUAAAUUUCUGUUGUUUAAGUCACCCAGUUUAUGGUAGUUUGGUUUUAAUGCAAAGAGUGAUAGAUAAUAUAUUUUUAAAGUCUACUUUGGUAAUUUGUUAAUUGGAGUAAAGAGUCUGCUUACAUGUUACAUAAUUACUAACAUAUUUGGAUUUAAGUUUGUCAUUAUUCUUAUUUUAUCUAUCCCACCUCUCCUAUUUUCAUUUUCUCUCUUUUGCUUUUUUGAUUUUUUUUUUUUUUUUCCUUAGGCCAUAGCACCUGAUAUUCCCAGGCAGACUCUCAUCCAAGUGCCAAUCAGCCCCAACCUUACUUAGCUUCCCAGAUCAGAUGAGAACAGGCAUAUUCAGGGUGGUAUGGAUAUAGACCUUUUAGAUUAUUUUUAAUUAUUCCAUUUUUUCUACCUCAUAAGCUUGACAGAUAUCUUUCAGUAUCUUUUUACUGUUCACCUCAGGUAUUAAAACAUGGAACCUUUGUUUAUCAUCUUUAAGAUAAUUUGGUAUUGUACUUCUUCUGGGACAAUGAAAGGACCUGAGAACACAUCAACUUCAUUUACUGCCCCACCUCAUGUUAUAUAUAUUAUAUAUUCUUGAUAUGUAUUUCCUAAAUUCUCAAGACUUUUUUUUAUACGGUAUGAAUUUACAUUUCCCAAACAUUAACUUUUUCUCUUGUGUUUUGUGGUUCCUGGAUUCUGAGCUUCCAUCUAAGAUCUUUUUUCUUCUUGAAGGACGUACUUUCAUAUUUCUUUGAAUGUCUACUGGUAGCAAUUCCAUUCAGAUUUUCUGUCCUGAAACUGUCUUAUUUUACUUUUAUUUUUUAAGAACCUUUUUGCUGAAUUAGCAGCUAUUUUAUCAUUUUGGAGAUAUAUUUUAUUCCUUCUGGUUUCCAUUAUGUCCUCUGAGACAUGAUGUCCAUUUUGUCUUUUUCUCUUCAAAGUAUAUGCCACAGUAUAAUCUCUUUUUUUGAAUGGCUACUUUUAAGAGGUUUGUCUUAAGUUUGAUGUGCCCACAUGUGUUUUGUGUUUGUUUUUGUGUGUGUGUGUGUGUGUGUGUUUUUUCCCCCUCUUUGAGAUUUGUAAUGUUUCUUGAAUCUGGAUGUGAUGUCCUUAGGCUGUUUGAGAAAAUUCUUAGGUAUGUUUCAUCAGACAUUGCUUCUGCCUUCACUCUCCUUUCUCCUCUUCUUUUGAUAUUCCCCUUACAUGUGUAUUUGAGAGUUCACUUUGUCCCUUGUAUCCAUUUAUUUUCCUCUCUGUUUCAUCCUGGAUAUUUCUUCUUAACUUUCAGUUCACUACUUUCUUUUAGUAGUCUCUAAUCUGUUUAAAAAAAAAAAAAAUCUCUCUUGAAGCAUUUAUUUUAGUUAUAUUUUUGGUUAUCAGUUCAAACAUUUCUACUUGAUUCUGUUUUAUUGUUUCCAGUUGUUUACCCAAUAUCUCAUCUUUUAUUUCCUCAAACAUACUAAUCAUAAUUACUUUAAAAUCUGUAUCUAAUAACUAUGGUGUCUGCUAUUAUCUGACACUUUUCUUGUUGUUGUUAUCACAUUUUCUUGUUUUUAUGUCCCUUAUUUUUAUGUUAUUUUAUAUUAUUUAUUUUAUAAACAUUAUAAAUAUAUAAAACUUGGUUUAGGCUAUGUUUUAAUUGAAUGUCAGAGUUGUUUUGAUUGAAUUGUUUAUGGGGAAACUAUACUUUGAAGUCCAAUAUGAUAAUGUUUUCUAAAGAAAGAAUUUAUGUCUCCUGGCAAGACCUUUGGACAGUAGUAAUCCAAGAUCAUCUUAAUCCAGUUAGUGAUAGAGACAAUUAGAAUAUAGGCAGGUCUACUUACUGUUCAUACUUUCUCUCAGAAUGUAGACCUCUAAAGUUCUAACUCAAGCAUGCAGAGUUUACCAGACCAGGCCCUAAACUUCAGUUUUUGUCUUUUUAAUUCUAUGGGUGAGAAGCUCUGUUCAACUUUUCAGCCAUCAUCUCAGGAAUCAGAAGAUACUCCAGAGGAAAAGCUAAUAUAAAUGCUGGAUUCAACAACUCUGUUUUUUCCUUUUGAAUACUUUAUUGUCUCUAACGCUCUCAGAUGUUUGUUUUAUAUUUUGUCCAAGCUGAGUGUGGUAGCUCACGUCUGUAAUUUCAGCACAUUGGGAGGCCAAGGCAGGAGCAUCCCUUGAGGCCAGGAAUUUGAGACUAGCCUAGGCAACAUAAUGAGACCUUUGUCUCUUGGAAAAAGCAAAUAAAUAAAUAAAUAUUAGAAGUGAAAAUGGGGACAUUGUUACAAAUGCUGUAGAGAUUGGUGAGAAAUUACGAACAACUUUAUAAUGGGAAAAUAUCAAUGAGGUAGACAGUUCCAGAAAAAUGUAACUUUUCAAAAGCUGACAAGUAAUGGAAAAUAUAAAUGAUGGGAUGUUGAUGUAAGAAAUCAUGAUGCCCAGAGACUUUUGUGAAACCUUCAAAGGACAGAUCAUUUCAAUUUUACACAAACCAUUCCACAGUAUAUUCUACUUCCAUACAUAGUAUAUUCCACUUAUAUACUGUGGAAUUAGCCCUUACUGCCCUUAUCAAAUUUAACAUCAAGGUCACAGAAGCCUAAUAAAAUGAUUUUAUUAGGGCAGUAAUGAUUUGAUAAGGGCAGUAAGAAUUAGAACCCUGUCAUAUUCACAAAGACAAAAAUCCUGAAUAAAACAGACCUCAGAAAAUUUGUUUUUAAGAAAAGACAAUAAAACAUGGUCAGGUUGAAUUUAACCCAGGAAUGUAUUUUAUUAAAAGAUUAGAAAAACUAUCUGGCUAUCUAAACAGAUGCAGGAAAAGAAAACUAUUUGCAAAAAUUAACAGACAUGGAUAAACCUUUGGGCAAAUUAGAAUUGUGUAGAACUUCCUUAAGCCAAUAAAACUACAGCAACAAUAUUUUAAGAUGAAGUAUUUGAAGCAGUCCAUUAGAAUCAGGAACAGGUGCUAUGUUGGAGAUCCUAGCCAGCAUUAUAAGGCAAGAAAAAUAAAAGAUUAAAAAUUGGAAAUAAACAUAACUUAGUCUACAGAUAAAUUAUUUAAGAGCUUUGCAAGGAUUCUGAAUAUACUAUUGAUAUGAUGUGGAUCUGUGUCCCUACCCAAAUCUCAUGUUGAAUUGUAAUCCCCAAUGUUGGAGGUGAGGCCUAGUGGAAGAUUGUAUCAUGGGAAUGGGUUUCUUAUUAGUGGUUUAGUACCAUCCUCUUGGUACUAAAUAGUUCUGAGAACUGAAAUAGUUCUCAGGAGAUCUGGUAAUUUAGAAUUGUGUGGUAUCUCUCCCCGUCUCUUGCUCUUGCUCCCCCUUUGCCUUCCACCAUGAUUGGAAGCUUCCUGAAGCUGCCUCAGAAGCAGAAGCCACUGUGCUUCCUGUACAGCUUGCAGAACCAUGAGCCAAUUAAACCCCUUUUCUUUAUAAAGUAGUCUUCAGUAUGUAUAGCAGUGUGAAAACAGACUGAUAUGACUAUCAGUAUACAAAAGUGAAUUGCAUUUCUCUCCAGCAGAAAUGAACUGUUAGAAAAUGAUUUUUGUGACAUACCAUUUACUAUAUUGCUUUGAAAAUAUAAAUUAUCUAAAGGUAAUUAACAAAAGGUAUAGAAGACGUCUGUAGAAAAUUACAAAACUAUUGGCAGACAUUUAAAAAUAUCUAAUUUUAAAAUUGCCAUGUUCAAUUAUUAAAAGACUCAAGUUAAGAUGGCAAUGCUCCCCUACACAAUGAAGAUAAUUGCAAUAGAAAUCCCAAAUGAGUUUAUCAAGGAGCUUGACAAACUGAUUCUAAAGUCUCUAUGACAAAGAGCAGAAUUCAGGAUAUUUCAGAAGCAAAUUUAAGAUGGAAUUGACUUGUAGAUAUUCAUAACAGCAAAAACAUAAAAACAACUCAAAUAUCCAUCAAAAGAUAAAAUGUUUAUCCAUGAAAAGAUACUCAAAAAGUGACGCAUUUAUAUAAUGGGAUAUAUUUGGCCGCAAAAGGAAUGAAGUACUAAUACCUGCUGUAAUGUGGAUAAACCUUGAAAGCAUGCUGAAAUGAAGCCAGUCACAAAAGACCAUGUAUGAUUCCAUUUAAAUAAAAUGUAUAAAGUAGGAAAUGUAUUGAGACAAUAGAUUGUGGUUGUUUAGGGCUUGCAAAGUUUGGGGUGAUGGGGGCCCAAGGUAGUGAUAGCUAAAGGGUGCGGUUUCUUUUUGAGGCAAUAGAGUUCUAAAAUGUGUAGUUGCACGUUUCUGUAGAUAUACUAAAAUGAAUUCAGUUGUGCACUUUAAAUGAGUAAAUUGGUAUGUGAAUUGUACCUCAAUAAAUCUGUUAAAACCAUAGUAAUUAGGAUAUUGUAAUACUACUUAGAGAUGGAAAAAUUGAUUUAUAAGGAAUCCUGAUUGUAAGGAAUCUUGACUUAUGGCAGAGAUGGCAUUGCGUACCAGCAGGAAAAGCUAGAGCAUUUAGAUGCUGGAUAUUCAUAGGGGGAAAAAUGAAGUUGGUCCUCCCUACCUAACACCAUACAGAAAAAGUAGUUUCAGGUGACUAAGAUGUAAGUGUGAAAGGAAAACAUUAAACCUUCAAAAGAAAGAUUGCAAAAUAUUUUUAUGAUCUUAUAGUAGGGAAAUGUAAUAUGUAUAAAGGGAAAUGUGUAUGUCCAAAACGUUAAAGUUAAAAACCCCUGUUCAAAAGACUCCAUAAUCCCUUGGAAUAGCGGUUAAUUUCAGUCAUGCACAGGAAAUGUACAAGAUGAGCCUGGUGUUGUGCUAGAUAGCAAGGAAGCUAUUAUAGACUAUGAGGGUGUCAUAUCAAAUGGACUCAGGAGACAACUGAAAAGCAUCCUUCUGGCCAUAGAUGAGACCAUUUGAGUGUCAAUAAGGACAGUAAAUGCCAAUUGAUUGGAACAUAUCAAGCGUCUUUAAAUCUAUGAGUACGUAAUGAUUGUAAAACAGCGUUUAGUUGGUCAACAGUAGAAGAUGCUGUUGCAUCAAUUCAUUAUUUUGAAAACCAGUUUGUUUUUUUUUCAGUAGGCAUUUGUCCUGCCUUUUCUAUGUGAACUGUAGGUAACCACAUAGUAGAGGAGGGGAGGGUUCUCUUUAUACACGUAUUCCAGCUAAUAAAUGGAGGAGUGAUAGAAAAUUGCCAUUUUGAAAUUCCUAAUGAACACAUGGAUUUAUUUAUUGCAUUUCAACAGCUGCUAACAUGACAAGAAAACAUAUACU